AUUGAACGCUGGCGGCAUGCCUUACACAUGCAAGUUGAACGGCAGCACGGGAGCAAUCCUGGUGGCGAGUGGCGAACGGGUGAGUAAAGUAUCGGAACGUGCCCAGUCGUGGGGGAUAACGUAGCGAAAGUUACGCUAAUACCGCAUACGAUCUAUGGAUGAAAGCGGGGGAUCGCAAGGCCUCGCGCGAUUGGAGCGGCCGAUAUCAGAUUAGGUAGUUGGUGGGGUAAAGGCUCACCAAGCCGACGAUCUGUAGCUGGUCUGAGAGGACGACCAGCCACACUGGGACUGAGACACGGCCCAGACUCCUACGGGAGGCAGCAGUGGGGAAUUUUGGACAAUGGGCGAAAGCCUGAUCCAGCCAUGCCGCGUGCAGGAUGAAGGCCUUCGGGUUGUAAACUGCUUUUGUACGGAACGAAAAGGUUUGGCCUAAUAAGCUGAGCUCAUGACGGUACCGUAAGAAUAAGCACCGGCUAACUACGUGCCAGCAGCCGCAGUAA
rnacentral:rRNA from 1 species